GACGAACGCUGGCGGCGUGCCUAACACAUGCAAGUCGAGGGCUCAGCAAUGAGCACUGGCGCACGGGUGAGUAACGCGUAGGUUAUCUGCCUCAAUCACAGACAUAACAGCGAGAAAUUGCUGCUAAUAUCUGAUGAGGCCCUUCGGGGUCAAAGACUUCGGUCGGAUUGAGAUGAGCCUGCGUCUGAUUAGCUAGUUGGUAAGGUAAUGGCUUACCAAGGCGACGAUCAGUAACUGGUCUGAGAGGACGAUCAGUCACACUGGAACUGAGACACGGUCCAGACUCCUACGGGAGGCAGCAGUGAGGAAUAUUGGUCAAUGGGGGAAACCCUGAACCAGCGACGCCGCGUGGGGGAUGAAGGGGCUUUGCCUUGUAAACCUCUGUCGGAAGGGAAGAAAAGCAUGCUACGCAUGCUGGGACAGUACCUUCAAAGGAAGGACCGGCUAACUACGUGCCAGCAGCCGCGGUAAUACGUAGGGUCCAAGCGUUGUCCGGAAUCACUGGGUGUAAAGGGUGCGUAGGCGGGCUUGUGCGUCAGGGGUUAAAUGUCAUUGCUCAACAAUGAACCUGCCCUUGAUACGGCAAGCCUUGAGUGUGAGAGAGGAAGAUGGAAUUCCUGGUGUAGCGGUGAAAUGCGUAGAUAUCAGGAGGAACACCUGUGGCGAAGGCGGUCUUCUGGCUCACAACUGACGCUGAGGCACGAAAGCGUGGGUAGCGAGCAGGAUUAGAUACCCUGGUAGUCCACGCCUUAAACGAUGUAUGCUUGGUGUUGGGGGCGUAAGCUUCCAGUGCCGAAGGUAACCCGAUAAGCAUACCACCUGGGGAGUACGAUCGCAAGGUG
rnacentral:rRNA from 1 species